rnacentral:rRNA from 1 species
GACGAACGCUGGCGGCGCGCCUAACACAUGCAAGUCGAACGGAGCUUAGAGAGCUUGCUUUUUAAGCUUAGUGGCGAACGGGUGAGUAACGCGUGAGUAACCUGCCCUAGAGUGGGGGACAACAGUUGGAAACGACUGCUAAUACCGCAUAAGCCCACGGUACCGCAUGGUACUGAGGGAAAAGGAUUUAUUCGCUUUAGGAUGGACUCGCGUCCAAUUAGCUAGUUGGUGAGGUAACGGCCCACCAAGGCGACGAUUGGUAGCCGGACUGAGAGGUUGAACGGCCACAUUGGGACUGAGACACGGCCCAGACUCCUACGGGAGGCAGCAGUGGGGAAUAUUGGGCAAUGGGCGCAAGCCUGACCCAGCAACGCCGCGUGAAGGAAGAAAGGCUUUCGGGUUGUAAACUUCUUUAAGAGGAAGAGCAGAAGACGGUAGCCAAAGAGGAAGCCACGGCUAAUACGUGCCAGCA